AUUGAACGCUGGCGGCAGGCUUAACACAUGCAAGUCGAGCGGGGUGAUGGUGCUUGCACUAUCACUUAGCGGCGGACGGGUGAGUAAUGCUUAGGAAUCUGCCUAUUAGUGGGGGACGACAUCUCGAAAGGGAUGCUAAUACCGCAUACGUCCUACGGGAGAAAGCAGGGGAUCACUUGUGACCUUGCGCUAAUAGAUGAGCCUAAGUCGGAUUAGCUAGUUGGUGGGGUAAAGGCCUACCAAGGCGACGAUCUGUAGCGGGUCCGAGAGGAUGAUCCGCCACACUGGGACUGAGACACGGCCCAGACUCCUACGGGAGGCAGCAGUGGGGAAUAUUGGACAAUGGGGGGAACCCUGAUCCAGCCAUGCCGCGUGUGUGAAGAAGGCCUUAUGGUUGUAAAGCACUUUAAGCGAGGAGGAGGCUCUUUUGGUUAAUACCCAAGAUGAGUGGACGUUACUCGCAGAAUAAGCACCGGCUAACUCUGUGCCAGCAGCCGCAGUAA
rnacentral:rRNA from 1 species